rnacentral:lncRNA from 1 species
CUCGGGGCUGUGGUGGUGAGGUUGCAGCCCAGCCAGCAUAAGGAAUUUCCUUUCUUCUGGCAGAAAAAGAAAGAUGAAAUAUUAAAAGCAUGGCUUAAAGGCUGCUGUAUAUAUAUAUAUAUCUACAAUCUUUUUUUUCCCUUCUGCUCAGCACUGCUUUGGUGUUGCUCAGAGACAGCAGCCAGUCAGAGCAGGAGAGAUGCCAGACUUCAGAAAAGAGCAGGGAGUGGGGCUGAAGCGAGGGAGAAAGAGGAGGAUUGUCUCAGGUGAGGGCAGUGCCCUCUGAAGCAGGAGGACACCUCCAUGUGUGCCACUGUCCUUGGAUGAGGGAGGAUGGCAGGAGAAGAGGGCCAAGGCAUCCCUGGAGAAGUCCUGCAAGCUCCCAGCUUGCCAUUUGUGCCAUCCUGGCAUUUCCCUGCUAUCUCCUGGUGCUGAAGGACAGCUCAAACGCCUCGUUAAUCACCGCUGAUGACGGAGCUGUGGCACUCAGGUCCUGCUGGCUGCUGCUUCCCCAGCCAGGGAUGUUUUGCCGAUGCUGCUCCCUGAAAACUCCAGCUGAAAACUGGGGGAAAACUGCCCCCCUCGGAGCUGUAGUUUGUGGAAGAUGUUCCUACUCUGUUCCAGUCUCUCAUUCCUGCUCAUAGGGCACACAGUGAGUUGUGCCCUUGCAAACCUGCAUCUUUUUACAGUACAUUUUUCCCUUCUCUGUGCUUGUCAAGAUCGAGGGCAGCUCCGUGGUGGGCUGAUCUGCUGCUGCAUUGAUCUGGCAAAGGCUGGGGGUGAAAGCCCCACAGCCUCCAGACGAGGCCAUAGAGCUUUCAGGAUGCAGUUUUUCCGAAUCUGUCCAUCACACAGCAAACAAACACCCCCAGCCUGGAGGCAGCUGGCUCGGGGGUGAGCAUCGAUCGCUGGCUGCUGGGUGAGACCCACCAGAACCCCACCGGUGUCAGGAGGCAGCUCCAGCCCUCCCAGCUCCCAAUCACAGGGCUGGGAAGGAAAGCCAGCCUUCUCAGGAAUCAAUCAUUUGACAUCUGCUGUCAGCCUUCUGACACCCAGCCCCGCCGGUGAGGACCCCAGCAGGAAGCCUGGUGGAUCUCAGCUUGUUUUGGUCUUAA